CGCCCCGCGAAGGCCGUGGCCUCUAGAGAGCCUGAGAAGGCGGCGGCUGCUUCGGCAGCUGCAGGCCGGCGCGGGGGAAGCGGAGCGGCGAUGGUGCCCUCGCCGCGUGCGCCUGCACCCUGACGGCGAGCUGGUGGCCACAGUUUUACAUCAUUUGGUGGGAGGGACUCAUGGACUUGGCACAGCUUGCUUCCUGACAGAUCCAGUAGUACGUUUUUCCUUCUCCUAGAAGUUGCUAAGGUUUCUCUUGAUUUGAACAUACCAUUGUUGCAGAA
rnacentral:lncRNA from 1 species